CACGUAGGGCGCGAGCGUUGUCCGGAAUUAUUGGGCGUAAAGAGCUCGUAGGCGGCCUGUUGCGUCCGCUGUGAAAGCCCGGGGCUUAACCCCGGGUCGGCAGUGGAUACGGGCAGGCUAGAGGUAGGUAGGGGAGAAUGGAAUUCCCGGUGUAGCGGUGAAAUGCGCAGAUAUCGGGAGGAACACCCGUGGCGAAGGCGGCUUUCUGGGACGGUACUGACGCUGAGACGCGAAAGCGUGGGGAGCGAACAGG
rnacentral:rRNA from 1 species